AGCAUGCGUCCCAUUAGCUAGUUGGUAAGGUAACGGCUUACCAAGGCUACGAUGGGUAGGGGUCUUGAGAGGGAGAUCCCCCCACACUGGUACUGAGACACGGACCAGACUCCUACGGGAGGCAGCAGUGAGGAAUAUUGGACAAUGGGCGCAAGCCUGAUCCAGCCAUGCCGCGUGCAGGAUGACGGUCCUAUGGAUUGUAAACUGCUUUUAUACAGGAAGAAACACUCCGACGUGUCGGAGCUUGACGGUACUGUAAGAAUAAGGAUCGGCUAACUCCGUG
rnacentral:rRNA from 1 species